rnacentral:misc_RNA from 1 species
GAUGAAGAACGUAGUGAAAUGCGAUAAGUAAUGUGAAUUGCAGAAUUCAGUGAAUCAUCGAGUUUUUGAACGCAUAUUGCGCCCUCUGGUAUUCCGGGGGGCAUGCCUGUUCGAGCGUCAUUAAAUAACCCUCAAGCAUAGCUUGGUGUUGGGCUUUUUUACGUCCUUGACUGGGAUGGGCCUAAAAAUUAGUGGCGAUGGCUUUUUUACUUUCAAGCGUAGUAAAUCUCGUCUUGCUAAAGAGGAAAAAGAUUUUUUUUCUGCCAAAAAUUUUAACAUUCAAAGUUGACCUCGGAUCAGGUAGGAUUACCCGCUGAACUUAAGCAUAUCAAUAAGCGGAGGA